AUCAGUAGGGGUUCUGAGAGGAAGGUCCCCCACAUUGGAACUGAGACACGGUCCAAACUCCUACGGGAGGCAGCAGUGAGGAAUAUUGGUCAAUGGGCGAGAGCCUGAACCAGCCAAGUAGCGUGCAGGAUGACGGCCCUAUGGGUUGUAAACUGCUUUUAUAGGGGAAUAAAGUGAUCCACGUGUGGUUUCUUGCAUGUACCCUAUGAAUAAGGACCGGCUAAUUCCGUGCCAGCAGCCGCGGUAAUACGGAAGGUCCGGGCGUUAUCCGGAUUUAUUGGGUUUAAAGGGAGCGUAGGCCGGAGAUUAAGCGUGUUGUGAAAUGUAGAUGCUCAACAUCUGCACUGCAGCGCGAACUGGUUUCCUUGAGUACGCAUAAAGUGGGCGGAAUUCGUGGUGUAGCGGUGAAAUGCUUAGAUAUCACGAAGAACUCCGAUUGCGAAGGCAGCUCACUGGGGCGCAACUGACGCUGAAGCUCGAAAGCGCGGGUAUCGAACAGGAUUAGAUACCCUGGUAGUCCGCGCGGUAAACGAUGGAUGCCCGCUGUUGGGCCAACUGGUUCAGCGGCCAAGCGAAAGCAUUAAGCAUCCCACCUGGGGAGUACGCCGGCAACGGUGAAACUCAAAGGAAUUGACGGGGGCCCGCACAAGCGGAGGAACAUGUGGUUUAAUUCGAUGAUACGCGAGGAACCUUACCCGGGCUUGAAUUGCAGAGGAAGGAUUUGGAGACAAUGACGCCCUUCGGGGCCUCUGUGAAGGUGCUGCAUGGUUGUCGUCAGCUCGUGCCGUGAGGUGUCGGCUUAAGUGCCAUAACGAGCGCAACCCCUCUCCAUAGUUGCCAUCAGGUUAAGCUGGGCACUCUGUGGACACUGCCACCGUAAGGUGUGAGGAAGGUGGGGAUGACGUCAAAUCAGCACGGCCCUUACGUCCGGGGCUACACACGUGUUACAAUGGCAGGUACAGAGAGCCGGUCGUAUGCAAAUACGAUCCAAUCCUUAAAGCCUGUCUCAGUUCGGACUGGGGUCUGCAACCCGACCCCACGAAGCUGGAUUCGCUAGUGAUCGCGCAUCAGCCAUGGCGCGGUGAAUACGUUCCCGGGCCUUGUACACACCGCCCGUCAAGCCAUGAGAGCCGGGGGCGCCUGAAGUCCGUGACCGCAAGGAUCGGCCUAGGGCGAAACUGGUAAUUGGGGCUAAGUCGUAACAAGGUA
rnacentral:rRNA from 1 species